rnacentral:lncRNA from 1 species
UGGGAAGGAAGACCAGUUCUCUCACUCAAGCAACUUGAAGGCUGGGACUUGGACUACAUCCUCCAGAGUCUGCCAGGGCAACAAGGCAGCCAGGGUGACAGUGCAUCCAGAAGUGCAUGGUGGUUAGCGGAUCGCUGCCAAGACCAAGGGCACAGCACUGGACCCUCCCAGGACAUACUUCUGGAACAGCUGGCCCUCCUGUGUGCCACUCAGUCCAGAGUCCGACACCCUACCUGGAAGGUAUCUGCUGACAAGCUCCAAGACACAGAAGAGCAGGUAGCCAGAACCAGGAGUCUGGGAGCCUUUUCUGUGAGGUAGUUGUAGGUUCUGCAUGGCUAGCAGGCCUGCACUUUCCAGUAUGAAAUCCACCAGCUCCACAGGACUACUAAGCACCGGAAAUGCGGCUACUGGGAUGAGGACUAUGUAAUUUUAUGGACCUACUGGAAAUGACUAGCUUGAAUAUAUAAACAGCCCCCUGUGCUU